rnacentral:lncRNA from 1 species
CAAAAUUCUAAAUGUAGGUAAAUUUAAGACUUGUUUAUCUUUACUACAUAUUGAUACGGGUUAAUUUCUUUUGCAGGUACUAAGGGCGAUGAUGUAGGGCAAAAACAUAACCGUCACAUGCAUUGUAGCAACUAGAGAGAACUAGGGGUUUGUGAAAAUAAGGUGAAGAUUGUGAAAUGUUUUUCAAAACCCAUUACUCACGUUUUUAAAAGUGACAAAAAUUAUUUUCUCCAUUUAUUGGCCACAUGGCAACUUUCCAUUGGCAACAUAUAUUUCACAAGGAUGUGUG